rnacentral:rRNA from 1 species
CCUACGGGUGGCUGCAGUGGGGAAUAUUGGACAAUGGGCGAAAGCCUGAUCCAGCCAUGCCGCGUGUGUGAAGAAGGCCUUCGGGUUGUAAAGCACUUUCAGUGGGGAAGAAAGCCUUGGGGCUAAUACCCUCGAGGAAGGACAUCACCCACAGAAGAAGCACCGGCUAACUCCGUGCCAGCAGCCGCGGUAAUACGGAGGGUGCGAGCGUUAAUCGGAAUUACUGGGCGUAAAGCGCGCGUAGGCGGUCUGAUAAGCCGGUUGUGAAAGCCCCGGGCUCAACCUGGGAACGGCAUCCGGAACUGUCAGGCUAGAGUGCAGGAGAGGAAGGUAGAAUUCCCGGUGUAGCGGUGAAAUGCGUAGAGAUCGGGAGGAAUACCAGUGGCGAAGGCGGCCUUCUGGACUGACACUGACGCUGAGGUGCGAAAGCGUGGGUAGCAAACAGGAUUACAUACCCAGUAGUC